UUUGAACCUCAGAACAAAAUAAUCAGUUUGUCACAUUGCUUCAGGUGAAGGUACAGAGGAUGGCUAGGCCCUGAUCAGGAUCUGGGGUUCUGCGUUAGGACCAAGGGAACUCCUCUCCUGUCCAGCUUCACCCAGCACUCACAAUGGUGACGUCCAGAGUAGAGGACCUUUCUUAAAAAUAAAAGACGCCCCACCAGCAGCCCUCCCGCUCUCAAAGGUACUCAGGAAUCAAACCAUAUAGCACAUGUUAAAUUGGACUCAGAAAUCAACUGGAAGUCGUGACAGAUCAUGCAACACUCUGAAUGAGAAGCCCCAUUCAACAGCAAUCGAUCCCUGAGCACUCUCCCGUCGACUUCUGUACUCCAGCUCGGUGAGAGCUGCAGGCAGAGUCGACAGGGGAGCGGCAGCAGUCGACUCACCAUAGUGAAGACACCGCGGUGACCUUUGAGAGAAAUGGAGGCCUGAGAUGAGUAAAAGGCCACUUUGGUGUUAAAUUGGAGAAUACACCAGUGCUACUACAUCCUACACUGCAAGUAAAGGAGGAGACAGAAAACUGGUUGAAUGCAACAAAAAGUCCCUGUUGAUCCUGUUCAGAAAAUUACAAAGGAAUAAGGGCAAAGGGAGUAAGAGAAGACAUCCACCCAUCUGUGCAUAGAUUGAGAGUUCCUCGGAGCAGGGACCAUCCUUCUUAAAUGUUUUGAAAGUGUGUGGUACCCAGUGAGCACUUCCAUAAAUACAUAAGAGUGAAUUUUGUUUAGAGUA